rnacentral:rRNA from 1 species
CAGCCGCCGCGGUAAUACGUAGGUGGCAAGCGUUGUCCGGAAUGACUGGGCGUAAAGGGCGCGUAGGCGGUUUGCACAGUCAGAUGUGAAAUUCCUGGGCUUAACCUGGGGGCUGCAUUUGAUACGUGCAGGCUUGAGUGUGGAAGAGGGUCGUGGAAUUCCCAGUGUAGAGGUGAAAUCCGUAGAUAUUGGGAAGAACACCGGUGGCGAAGGCGGCGACCUGGUCCAUAACUGACGCUGAGGCGCGAAAGCGUGGGGAGCAAACAGGAUUAGAUACCCCCGUAGUCCCUGUCUCUUAUAC